GACGAACGCUGGCGGCGUGCCUAACACAUGCAAGUCGAACGGAGUCGGCCCCGCAAGGGCCUGACUUAGUGGCGAACGGGUGAGUAACGCGUGAGCAACCUGCCUUUCAGUGGGGGACAACAGUUGGAAACGACUGCUAAUACCGCAUAAUGCAUUUUGACCGCAUGAUCGAGAUGCCAAAGAUUUAUUGCUGAAAGAUGGGCUCGCGUCUGAUUAGAUAGUUGGUGAGGUAACGGCCCACCAAGUCGACGAUCAGUAGCCGGACUGAGAGGUUGAACGGCCACAUUGGGACUGAGAUACGGCCCAGACUCCUACGGGAGGCAGCAGGGGGGAAUAGUGGGCAAUGGGGGAAACCCUGACCCAGCAACGCCGCGUGAAGGAAGAAGGCUUUCGGGUUGUAAACUUCUUUUACCAGGGACGAAGAAAGUGACGGUACCUGGAGAAAAAGCCACGGCUAACUACGUG
rnacentral:rRNA from 1 species